rnacentral:misc_RNA from 1 species
CUGCAAUUGGACCCAGAAUCUACAUUAUUGGGCGGAAUGGAUUGCUUUGUUAUGAUACUUGGAGCGGCACUGUUUCUCUCAGGUCUGCUAUGAUUUUUUCCAGGAAGAAAUUCGCCAGCGCCGUAGUCUCUGGCAAAAUCUACGUAGCCGGAGGUGGAUCACGGGUGGCAACGGCGGUUGAGGAGUAUGACCCAGAAAGCGAUACAUGGACAGUGGUGGCACACGCUCCCAGGAGGAGAUUUGGAUGCAUUGGGGCAGCCGUUGAUGGGG